AUACGGAGGGUGCAAGCGUUAAUCGGAAUUACUGGGCGUAAAGCGCACGCAGGCGGUUUGUUAAGUCAGAUGUGAAAUCCCCGGGCUCAACCUGGGAACUGCAUCUGAUACUGGCAAGCUUGAGUCUCGUAGAGGGGGGUAGAAUUCCAGGUGUAGCGGUGAAAUGCGUAGAGAUCUGGAGGAAUACCGGUGGCGAAGGCGGCCCCCUGGACGAAGACUGACGCUCAGGUGCGAAAGCGUGGGGAGCAAACAGGAUUAGAUACCCUGGUAGUCCACGCCGUAAACGAUGUCGACUUGGAGGUUGUGCCCUUGAGGCGUGGCUUCCGGAGCUAACGCGUUAAGUCGACCGCCUGGGGAGUACGGCCGCAAGGUUAAAACUCAAAUGAAUUGACGGG
rnacentral:rRNA from 1 species